GUGCACCAGGCGAGAAUUUUUCACAAUGGGGGCAACCCUGAUGGAGCGACGCCGCGUGGAGGAUGAAGGCUUUCGGGUUGUAAACUCCUGUCAUUUGAGAACAAGUGUAGCCAACUAACUAUUGGCUACUUGAUAGUAUCAGAAGAGGAAGGGACGGCUAACUCUGUGCCAGCAGCCGCGGUAAUACAGAGGUCCCAAGCGUUGUUCGGAUUCAUUGGGCGUAAAGGGUGCGUAGGUGGCGCCGUAAGUGGGGUGUGAAAUUUCGGAGCUUAACUCCGAAACUGCAUUCCAUACUGCGGUGCUUGAGGACUGGAGAGGAGACUGGAAUUCAUGGUGUAGCAGUGAAAUGCGUAGAGAUCAUGAGGAAGACCAGUGGCGAAGGCGGGUCUCUGGACAGUUCCUGACACUGAGGCACGAAGGCUAGGGGAGCGAACGGGAUUAGAUACCCCCGUAGU
rnacentral:rRNA from 1 species